GUCCCUGCCAGUCUGGGUCAAGUUUCUGGCACCUGACUUGUUUGCCAGGAAAAAGACAACUGCGGGUGAAGGAGAAAACCCUUUCCUGCAUGCUCGGCUGCCUUCGGAUCCAACGCUCCUAGCUGGGAGAUGGGAAGCUGUGGGCUGCGCAGUGGGUCUUUAUGGUCUUGGAAAGGGGACACCCCACCUUGUGCUCAUCUUUGUAGAAUCUGGGCAAGUUUGGGGGUCCUCAUAAAGAUUUUGAAAUUUUUGAAGUCUAUUCUCUGCCUGUUUUUCUAAAAAAUUCUUCAGUAGGUGAAUAAUUUACUUAACAUUGUGUACUUGGGAGAAUAUGAUGAUGGGGACAGAGCAUGCUGCAUUGCAUGGCUUCUUAGGAAGAAAACACUAUGGGCUGCCCUGCAGAAAUGCAGGCAGAAGCUGUCAUCAGUGAAUGUUGGGAGGAUCCAUAAUGUUGGAUUGGAAUAGAACUAGAGUGAGGUUGUUUCAUGAGGCCUUCUCCCAUCUAGAAUCUUUCUCAGGAGUAUUCUGGAUGCUUUGACCUGGAUCAGUUACUGCUUUGGUUUGUGGCAACAUGAAAACUGGCACAACAGGACAAAAAUGAGUUGAUUAUUUCAGCUGAACUUCCUGGGAGUUUCAUUCACAAUAAAGGAGAGGCAGAACAAGUAGAAAACUGGAA
rnacentral:lncRNA from 1 species